rnacentral:ncRNA from 1 species
CGCGGUCCGCGCGACUGGCGAUAGGGGCCCUGCCCCCGAGGUGGAAGACCACCGGGAAGCGCGGGCCACGGCCCCUCGCGCCGCGGCAUCCGCCGUUCGCCUGGGCAGCCCUC